UACGUAGGGGGCAAGCGUUGUCCGGAUUUAUUGGGCGUAAAGAGCGUGUAGGCGGCCAGGUAGGUCUGCUGUGAAAACUCGAGGCUCAACCUCGAGACGCCGAUGGAAACCAUGUGGCUAGAGUCCGGAAGAGGAGAGUGGAAUUCCUGGUGUAGCGGUGAAAUGCGCAGAUAUCAGGAAGAACACCCGUGGCUAAGGCGGCUCUCUAGUACGGUACUGACGCUGAGACGCGAAAGCGUGGGGAGCAAACAGG
rnacentral:rRNA from 1 species